UGGCGGCGUGCCUAUUACAUGCAAGUCGAGCGAACUGAUUAGAAGCUUGCUUCUAUGACGUUAGCGGCGGACGGGUGAGUAACACGUGGGCAACCUGCCUGUAAGACUGGGAUAACUCCGGGAAACCGGAGCUAAUACCGGAUAACAUUUUUUCUUGCAUAAGAGAAAAUUGAAAGAUGGUUUCGGCUAUCACUUACAGAUGGGCCCGCGGUGCAUUAGCUAGUUGGUGAGGUAACGGCUCACCAAGGCAACGAUGCAUAGCCGACCUGAGAGGGUGAUCGGCCACACUGGGACUGAGACACGGCCCAGACUCCUACGGGAGGCAGCAGUAGGGAAUCUUCCGCAAUGGACGAAAGUCUGACGGAGCAACGCCGCGUGAGUGAUGAAGGCUUUCGGGUCGUAAAACUCUGUUGUUAGGGAAGAACAAGUACAAGAGUAACUGCUUGUACCUUGACGGUACCUAACCAGAAAGCCACGGCUAACUACGUGCCAGCAGCCGCGGUAAUACGUAGGUGGCAAGCGUU
rnacentral:rRNA from 2 species